AAACUUUUAACAACGGAUCUCUUGGUUCUGGCAUCGAUGAAGAACGCAGCGAAAUGCGAUAAGUAAUGUGAAUUGCAGAAUUCAGUGAAUCAUCGAAUCUUUGAACGCACAUUGCGCCCCUUGGUAUUCCGGGGGGCAUGCCUGUUCGAGCGUCAUU
rnacentral:rRNA from 1 species